rnacentral:rRNA from 1 species
GAGACAGCAGUCGCCGCGGUAAUACAGAGGGUGCGAGCGUUAAUCGGAUUUACUGGGCGUAAAGCGUGCGUAGGCGGCUAAUUGAGUCGGAUGUGAAAUCCCCGAGCUUAACUUGGGAAUUGCAUUCGAUACUGGUUAGCUAGAGUGUGGGAGAGGAUGGUAGAAUUCCAGGUGUAGCGGUGAAAUGCGUAGAGAUCUGGAGGAAUACCGAUGGCGAAGGCAGCCAUCUGGCCUAACACUGACGCUGAGGUACGAAAGCAUGGGGAGCAAACAGGAUUAGAUACCCCGGUAGUCCCUGUCUCUUAUAC